rnacentral:rRNA from 1 species
CGUGCUUAACACAUGCAAGUCGAACGAUGAAGCCCACUUGUGGGUGGAUUAGUGGCGAACGGGUGAGUAACACGUGAGUAACCUGCCCUUGACUCUGGGAUAAGCCUGGGAAACUGGGUCUAAUACCGGAUAUGACUCCUCAUCGCAUGGUGGGGGGUGGAAAGCUUUUUGUGGUUUUGGAUGGACUCGCGGCCUAUCAGCUUGUUGGUGAGGUAAUGGCUUACCAAGGCGACGACGGGUAGCCGGCCUGAGAGGGUGACCGGCCACACUGGGACUGAGACACGGCCCAGACUCCUACGGGAGGCAGCAGUGGGGAAUAUUGCACAAUGGGCGCAAGCCUGAUGCAGCGACGCCGCGUGAGGGAUGACGGCCUUCGGGUUGUAAACCUCUUUCAGUAGGGAAGAAGCCUUUCGGGGUGACGGUACCUGCAGAAGAAGCGCCGGCUAACUACGUGCCAGCAGCCGCGGUAAUACGUAGGGCGCAAGCGUUAUCCGGAAUUAUUGGGCGUAAAGAGCUCGUAGGCGGUUUGUCGCGUCUGCCGUGAAAGUCCGGGGCUCAACUCCGGAUCUGCGGUGGGUACGGGCAGACUAGAGUGAUGUAGGGGAGACUGGAAUUCCUGGUGUAGCGGUGAAAUGCGCAGAUAUCAGGAGGAACACCGAUGGCGAAGGCAGGUCUCUGGGCAUUAACUGACGCUGAGGAGCGAAAGCAUGGGGAGCGAACAGGAUUAGAUACCCUGGUAGUCCAUGCCGUAAACGUUGGGCACUAGGUGUGGGGGACAUUCCACGUUUUCCGCGCCGUAGCUAACGCAUUAAGUGCCCCGCCUGGGGAGUACGGCCGCAAGGCUAAAACUCAAAGGAAUUGACGGGGGCCCGCACAAGCGGCGGAGCAUGCGGAUUAAUUCGAUGCAACGCGAAGAACCUUACCAAGGCUUGACAUGAACCGGACCGCUGCAGAGAUGUGGUUUCCCCUUUGGGGCUGGUUUACAGGUGGUGCA